AGACUUAACUGGCAUGGGAGAGAUCAUGAUCAUGAAGGUGCUUCUCCCUGGACGAGGCUAGCCUAUUGCAUUUGGAAUGUGCUAACACCUGCAGCCCUCCCUCCUUAGGUCUUCCUUCCUCCCCCUGCAUACAACUAAUCAGUGGAAACAGUUUUUACUCUCCCCCAG